rnacentral:rRNA from 1 species
UGGCUCGAGGACGAACGCUGGCGGCGUGCUUAACACAUGCAAGUCGAGCGAUGAAGCUUCUUCGGAAGUGGAUUAGCGGCGGACGGGUGAGUAACACGUGGGUAACCUGCCACAUAGAGGGGAAUAGCCUUUCGAAAGGAAGAUUAAUACCGCAUAAGAUUGUAGUACCGCAUGGCACAGCAAUUAAAGGAGUAAUCCGCUAUGAGAUGGACCCGCGUCGCAUUAGCUAGUUGGUGAGGUAACGGCUCACCAAGGCGACGAUGCGUAGCCGACCUGAGAGGGUGAUCGGCCACAUUGGGACUGAGACACGGCCCAGACUCCUACGGGAGGCAGCAGUGGGGAAUAUUGCACAAUGGGGGGAAAAACCCCCUGAUGCAGCAACGCCGCGUGAGUGAUGACGGCCUUCGGGUUGUAAAACUCUGUCUUUGGGGACGAUAAUGACGGUACCCAAGGAGGAAGCCACGGCUAACUACGUGCCAGCCGCCGC